CCAGACUCCUACGGGAGGCAGCAGUGGGGAAUAUUGGGCAAUGGGCGCAAGCCUGACCCAGCAACGCCGCGUGAAGGAAGAAGGCUUUCGGGUUGUAAACCUCUUUUGUCAGGGACGAAGCAAGUGACGGUACCUGACGAAUAAGCCACGACUAACUACGUGCCAGCAGCCGCGGUAAUACGUAGGUGGCAAGCGUUAUCCGGAUUUACUGGGUGUAAAGGGCGUGUAGGCGGGACUGCAAGUCAGAUGUGAAAACCACGGGCUCAACCUGUGGCCUGCAUUUGAAACUGUAGUUCUUGAGUACUGGAGAGGCAGACGGAAUUCCUAGUGUAGCGGUGAAAUGCGUAGAUAUUAGGAGGAACACCAGUGGCGAAGGCGGUCUGCUGGACAGCAACUGACGCUGAGGCGCGAAAGCGUGGGGAGCAAACAGGAUUAGAUACCCUAGUA
rnacentral:rRNA from 1 species